AUUAAACGCUGGCGGCAUGCCUUACACAUGCAAGUCGAACGGUAACAGGUCUUCGGAUGCUGACGAGUGGCGAACGGGUGAGUAAUACAUCGGAACGUGCCUAGUAGUGGGGGAUAACUACUCGAAAGAGUGGCUAAUACCGCAUGAGAUCUACGGAUGAAAGCAGGGGAUCGCAAGACCUUGUGCUACUAGAGCGGCCGAUGGCAGAUUAGGUAGUUGGUGGGAUAAAAGCUUACCAAGCCGACGAUCUGUAGCUGGUCUGAGAGGACGAUCAGCCACACUGGGACUGAGACACGGCCCAGACUCCUACGGGAGGCAGCAGUGGGGAAUUUUGGACAAUGGGCGAAAGCCUGAUCCAGCAAUGCCGCGUGCAGGAUGAAGGCCUUCGGGUUGUAAACUGCUUAUGUACGGAACGAAAAGCCCCGGGUUAAUACCCUGGGGCCAUGACGGUACCGUAAGAAUAAGCACCGGCUAACUACGUGCCAGCCGCCGCAGUAA
rnacentral:rRNA from 1 species